GACGAACGCUGGCGGCGUGCUUAACACAUGCAAGUCGAACGGAAAGGCCCUGCUUUUGUGGGGUGCUCGAGUGGCGAACGGGUGAGUAACACGUGAGUAACCUGCCCUUGACUUUGGGAUAACUUCAGGAAACUGGGGCUAAUACCGGAUAGGAGCUCCUGCUGCAUGGUGGGGGUUGGAAAGUUUCGGCGGUUGGGGAUGGACUCGCGGCUUAUCAGCUUGUUGGUGGGGUAGUGGCUUACCAAGGCUUUGACGGGUAGCCGGCCUGAGAGGGUGACCGGCCACAUUGGGACUGAGAUACGGCCCAGACUCAUACGGGAGGCAGCAGUGGGAAUAUUGCACAAUGGGCGGAAGCGUGAUGCAGCAACGCCGCGUGCGGGAUGACGGCCUUCGGGUUGUAAACCGCUUUCGCCUGUGACGAAGCGUGAGUGACGGUAAUGGGUAAAGAAGCACCGGCUAACUACGUG
rnacentral:rRNA from 1 species